rnacentral:rRNA from 1 species
AUACGGAGGGUGCAAGCGUUGUUCGGAAUUACUGGGCGUAAAGCGCGCGUAGGCGGUCUGUUAUGUCAGAUGUGAAAGUCCUCGGCUCAACCGGGGAAGUGCAUUUGAAACUGGCAGACUUGAGUAUUGGAGGGGGUAGUGGAAUUCCCGGUGUAGAGGUGAAAUGCGUAGAUAUCGGGAGGAAUACCGGUGGCGAAGGCGACUACCUGGCCAAAUACUGACGCUGAGGUGCGAAAGCGUGGGGAGCAAACAGGAUUAGAAACCCUAGUAGUCC